AAAUCCCAUUCUCUUAUUCGCUCUAAAUCCACAAAAAUUAGGGUUUGGCCGUUUCGCAACAAGUUACCAACGACAUGGCCGCCGAUCGGAACAAUAAUACCGCCAGCAAUAACAAUCCGGCGGGGGCGGUCACGGUCACGGCGGCACCGAAGCCCAUAUGGGUGAAGCACGCUGAAGAAGCCAAGCUGAAGAGCGAUGCCGAGAAGGACGCCGCUGCCAAAGCCGCAUUCGAAGCAACCUUCAAUAAAUCUCUGCUCCCACAGCCACAAUCCCCUUCGGUCGCGCCUUCUGCUUCUUCCGACUCUGACGAUGACGAGAGAUUGUCAGAUAAAGACGUCUCUGUGGGGCCUGUGGACCCGUCGAGGUGCACGGCGCAAGGCGCUGGGAUUGCAGGCGGGACAGCGUGCGUCGGGGCCACGUUCACGGUGGUAACCAAGGAUGCCGAAGGGAGUAAGGUGGUUCGUGGUGGAGCCCAGGUUAAGGUUCGUGUGGCGCCAGGGGUGGGUGUUGGGGGGGAUGAUCUGGAGGGCAUAGUUAAGGAUAUGGGGGAUGGAAGUUAUAGCGUGACUUAUGUGGUGCCAAAGAGGGGUAAUUAUAUGGUGAAUGUGGACUGCAAUGGGAAGCCAAUUAUGGGAAGUCCGUUCCCAGUUUUCUUUAGCUCAGGAACUCCAACUGGAGGGCUACUUGGUCUGGCUCCUGCAGCAUCAUAUCCUAAUCUAGUUAACCAAACCAUGCCCAACAUGCCAAAUUAUUCUGGUUCUGUGUCUGGUGCUUUUCCCGGGCUGCUAGGUAUGGUUCCAGGUGUUGUUUCUGGUGCCUCUGGUGGAGCUGUUUUACCUGGCAUUGGGUCAUCGUUGGGGGAAAUAUGUCGAGAAUACCUUAAUGGACGAUGUGCAAGUACUAUCUGCAAGUUUAAUCACCCUCCUCAUAAUCUGCUGAUGACUGCUUUAGCUGCAACCACUACAAUGGGAACUCUUAGUCAAGUGCCAAUGGCACCUUCAGCUGCUGCAAUGGCUGCUGCUCAGGCAAUUGUUGCUGCCCAAGCCCUUCAAGCUCAUGCUGCAGCUCAAGCUCAAUCGACAAAAGGCUCAAGUUCAGCUGAUGAUGAGAAGAAAGCUGAUUCUCUCAAAAAGACUGUUCAAGUUAGUAACCUCAAUCCACUUCUCACUGUGGAUCAGUUGAAACAACUCUUCGGCUUUUGUGGUACAGUUGUUGAUUGUACAAUUACCGAUUCUAAACAUUUUGCUUUCAUUGAAUACUCAAAACCGGAAGAAGCCACUUCGGCUUUAGCAUUGAACAAUAUGGAUGUUGGGGGCCGUCCUCUGAAUGUUGAAAUGGCUAAAACUCUUCCUCCAAAGCCCGUUCUGAAUUCUCAAUUGGGUUCAUCUUCAUUACCUAUGGUCAUGCAGCAAGCUGUUGCUAUGCAGCAGAUGCAAUUUCAGCAGGCCCUCCUAAUGCAGCAAACAAUGACAGCACAGCAGGCAGCUAGCCGGGCUGCAACAAUGAAAACUGCCACAGAAUUAGCCGCAGCUAGGGCUGCAGAAAUAAGUAGGAAGUUGCAAGCUGAUGGAGUGAUUGUUCCUGAAAAGGAACCUAAUGAAAAAUCUCGGUCACCAUCCACUGGCCGUGCCAAGUCAAGAUCUAGGUCAAGGUCCAAGUCAGUAUCUCCAGUCAGUUAUCGGACAAGACGGAGAUCUCGCUCGUUCUCACCUCCUACUCACCGAAGCAGAGUCUAUAGAUCUAGAUCACCUAUUAGAUCUCGCUACCGCUCAAGUUAUGAGAAAGAACGAAGAUACUAUCGUGAUGGUAGGGGUGGUAGUGACAGGAGGCGAGACCUGGGUAGAUCACGUGAUAAUGAGUCACCUAUUUCAAGGAGGAGCCGAAGUGCAAGCCCUCGAGCUAAGAAGUCAUAUCGUGAUGAUGUGGAUUCUCCCAGGCGUCGAGAAAGUCCAACUGGAAGAUCAAGAAAGUCGACCCGACCUGAUUCAAGAUCUCCUCGCCGUCAUAGGAGAAGGUCUUCAUCUUCUGGGGAUGAAUCGAAGAAAUCAAAACAUAGAAGACGUUCUAGGUCAAUGUCUGAUGAACUUAAACAUGACAAUAAUGAUAAAAGAGACAGCCGAAAGGAAGAAAGGUCCAAGAAUCGUAGCAGAAAACGUUCCAGAUCAGUUUCAGUAGAUCGAAAUGGGGGAAGAUCUUUGGAAGAAAGCAGGUCUAGGCACCGGAGACGGACAUUGUCCAGAUCACCGGAAGGAAAGCAUAACUCAACUGAGAAACAUGAAAAGAGCCGAGAGAAUAAAUCAAGAAAAACAAAUAAAAGGCGAUCUAGGUCAAGGUCGGCUGAAGGAAAGCAUCGGAAAGGCAGCAAGAAGUCUUCACAUCAUUCAGAUGAAUCCAAGUCAAAACACAGGAAGCACUCCCCAUUAAAUUCUCCUGAAAAUAAUCUUAAUAAUAUGAAAGAUGCUGUUCCAGUUGAACAAAGAGAUGAAGAAUUAAAGAAUGAGAAUGACAAGUCCUUCAUAUCUGAUGAUCUCUGUGAGCAGGUUGAUUGAGUUGAUCCAUUUGAACAGUGAUGAGGUGGCCAGAGAUGGGAGUUCUUGAAAUGACUUCAAGGAAAAGAGAUGGGUGCUUAACAAAAUCAAAAAUAGAAAAUUGAUGCUGCAAUACUGUUUACAAUUUCCGUGUUGAUGUUUAACCGCUGAUUGGUGAAAUGAUCCCACCAGAGAUUGGUCUUGUAUUUUGUCAGUUGGGAUAGUUAGGCAGUCUGCCACUCUUCAAGUGAUGAUUGCACUUCUGUUGUUUCUUUUGCAGGUUAGAAGGCAAGUAGAAUCUGCUGAAGUAUGGAGCCAUACAUGACUUGGUAGAACAGUUGAAGGACUAUGUCUGCCUAACUCAGAUUCUACCAUGAAACUGUUAUUUUCAUUGAUCCAUGCUGACUUAACCUCUAUCAGUGUAGGCAUGGUUCUGUUAAAGCAGAUACAAAGUCAGAUGUUGCCUGGUUGGUUGGUUGGUUGGUUAGUUUCUUGUUCAAAUCCUUGUUUCUUUAAUGACAGGUGGCAACGCUGGAUGUUUGAACUGUGGGUUGAGAGCUGCAUCAUCGGUUUCAAUCAGGAUAUGAUCUAUCUUUUUCUUUUUGGCUUUUCUUGCCCAUUUUCUGCGCGUUACCCCUUUAGUUUCCUCUCUUCAUUUUUUUUAAAAAUAAAUUAUAUAUAGUUAAGAGCAACAAAUGAUUUCUAUGCCUACUUGGCUUUGUGGCUGGACUAAAAAGAAAUGAUAUGUUUGGAUCUUCUGUUUGAUUGAUGCUUAGGUGAUUUUUGAUAUUUGGUUAUUUAGAGUGGAACUGGUCAGGAUUCAGAAGAGUAUAUGAACAUUGAAAGAUGAUUGAAGAUUUUGACACUCUAAUUAGGCCUAGUUGGAUAGGAGGAGUAUGACAACUCCAAUAUAUAUAUAUGUAUGUAUAUUUGAUGUAUUAAAAAGUUAAGGCUAUUUUCAAGGUUUUGUUGGUACAUUAUUAGUA